GCCUGGGUGGCUCAGUCGGUUAAGCGUCCGACUUCGGCUCAGGUCAUGAUCUCACGGUUCGUGGGUUCGAGCCCCGCAUCGGGCU
rnacentral:tRNA from 1 species